rnacentral:rRNA from 1 species
AGUGAACGCUGGCGGUAGGCCUAACACAUGCAAGUCGAACGGCAGCACAGUAAGAGCUUGCUCUUACGGGUGGCGAGUGGCGGACGGGUGAGGAAUACAUCGGAAUCUACUUUUUCGUGGGGGAUAACGUAGGGAAACUUACGCUAAUACCGCAUACGACCUACGGGUGAAAGCAGGGGAUCUUCGGACCUUGCGCGAUUGAAUGAGCCGAUGUCGGAUUGGCUAGUUGGCGGGGUAAAGGCCCACCAAGGCGACGAUCCGUAGCUGGUCUGAGAGGAUGAUCAGCCACACUGGAACUGAGACACGGUCCAGACUCCUACGGGAGGCAGCAGUGGGGAAUAUUGGACAAUGGGCGCAAGCCUGAUCCAGCCAUACCGCGUGGGUGAAGAAGGCCUUCGGGUUGUAAAGCCCUUUUGUUGGGAAGGAAAAGCAGCAGGUUAAUACCCCGCUGUUCUGACGGUACCCAAAGAAUAAGCACCGGCUAACUUCGUG